UACGGGAGGCAGCAGUGGGGAAUAUUGCACAAUGGGCGCAAGCCUGAUGCAGCCAUGCCGCGUGUAUGAAAAAGGCCUUCGGGUUGUAAAGUACUUUCAGUCGUGAGGAAGGUGUUAAGGUUAAUAACCUUAGCAAUUGACGUUAGCGACAGAAGAAGCACCGGCUAACUCCGUGCCAGCAGCCGCGGUAAUACGGAGGGUGCGAGCGUUAAUCGGAAUUACUGGGCGUAAAGGGCACGCAGGCGGUUAAUUAAGUUGGAUGUGAAAUCCCCGGGCUUAACCUGGGAAUGGCAUUCAAGACUGGUUAGCUAGAGUCUUGUAGAGGGGGUAGAAUUCCGAUGUGUAGCGGUGAAAUGCGUAGAGAUGUGGAGGAAUACCGGUGGCGAAGGCGGCCCCUGGACAAAGACUGACGCUCAUGUGCGAAAGCGUGGGGAGCAAACG
rnacentral:rRNA from 1 species